UUCAGGGUUCUGGUGCCUAAUGACUCCCAGUGCUAGGCCUUGUCAUGUCCACCUCACAGAGGACGGAACUAGGCCACCAGACUGCAUCACAAAGCCCUCCUGUGUCAUGAGGCACAUGUAGUAGGGAAGCUCAUGUGGUGAUUCAGUCUGUAGAUGAGGGUGUUGUGAGCCUGGGACUGAAGGUUUUUGCUCUGUUACCCAGGCUGGAGUGCAGUGGCGUGAUCAUGGCUCACUGGAGCCUCAACCUCCUGGACUCAAGCAAUCCUCCUGCCUCAGCUUCCCAGGUAGCUGGGACCACGGACAUGCACCACCACACUCAGCUAAUUUUUGGAUUUUUUUUUGUAGAGAUGAGGUCUCACUUUAUUGCCCGGGUUGGUCUUGAACUCGUAGGCUCAGGUGAUCCUCCCACCUCAGCCUCCUAAAGUGUUGGGAUUACAGGCGUGAGCCUAUGUUUAGUUUUUUUGGGGAACCUCCAUACUGGUCUCCAUAGUAGCUGUACUAAUUUACAUUGCCACCAUCAGUGUACAAGGGUUCUCUUUUUCUGCACAUCCUUGCCAGCAUUCAUUAUUGCCUGUCUUUUGGAUAAAAGCCAUUUUAACGGGUGAGAUGAUAUCUCAGUGUAGUUGUGAUUUGCAUUUCUCUGAUGAUCACUGACGUUGAGCACCUUUUCACAGACCUGUUUGCAAUUUGUAUGUCUUCUUUUGAGGUAUGUCUUCUUUUGAGAAAUGUCUUUUCAGAUCUUUUGUCCAUUUUUCAGUAGGAUUAUUAGAUUUUUUUUUCUAAUGAGUUGUUUGAGCUCCUUAUAUGUUCUGAUUAUUAAUCCCUUGUCCAGAUGAAUAGUUUGUAAAUAUAUUUUCUCCCAUUCUGGGGUUGUCUCUUCACUUUGUUGAUUGUUUCCUUUGCUGUGCAGAAGUUUUUUAACUUGAUGUGAUCCCAUUUGUCCACUUUUGCUGCUUUGGCUGUCUGUGCUUAUGGGGUAUUGCUCCACAAAGAAAUCUUUGCCCCCAGACCAAUUUCCUGGAGAGUUUCCUCAAUACUCAUGUAUCUUUCAGAAUUAAUUUAGCACGGGAAGCAUAAAUAAAUUGAUAUAUUUUCUUCAUAAAUGGAAACAUGCUAGAUACUGUUUUCCCUUUUACUUUUAAUUAUUAUGAAUAUAUCUUCUGUAUAUAAUUUUCUUUAAUGUUUGUACAGUCUUCUUUGGUAAAACUAUAACAUGACUUAUUUUCUCAAUCCUAUAUCCAUGGAUAUUUCUUUAAAGUUUUUUUGUUCUACCAAAUAACACUGAUAUGAACCCCAUGUGUAUAAGUUCUUGUACACUGGUAUGAGUAUAUAACUAGGAGAAAUUCCUAAGAGUUGAAUUAAUGGGUCAAAAGGUGUGUGUAUUUUAAAUGUUGAUAUUGCUUAAUUGCCUACCAAUUGAAUGAAUUUGCAUUCUCACCAAAACUCUGUAAGUGUGCCUCUCUUCCUAUGCUUGUUGACUCAAUAUUAUCAAUUUUUUUUAUCUUUGUCGAUAUGAGAAGUGAAAAUUUGUAUUUUAUAUAUUUAUAAAUUUGUUUGAAUAUACGAUAA